AUUGAACGCUAGCGGGAUGCCUUACACAUGCAAGUCGAACGGAGUGGCGAACGGGUGAGUAAUGUAACGGAACGUGCCCAGUAGCGGGGGAUAACUACGCGAAAGCGAAGCUAAUACUGCAUACUAUUGGAGCGGCCGAUACCGGAUUAGCUAGUUGGUGGGGUAACGGCUCACCAAGGCGACGAUCCGUAGCUGGUUUGAGAGGACGACCAGCCACACUGGGAAUGAGACACGGCCCAGACUCCGACGGGAGGCAGCAGUGGGGAAUUUUGGACAAUGGGGGAAACCCUGAUCCAGCCAUCCCGCGUGUGCGAUGAAGGCCUUCGGGUUGUAAAGCACUUUUGGCAGGAAAGCGGUACCUGCAGAAUAAGCACCGGCUAACUACGUGCCAGCCGCCGCGGUAAUUC
rnacentral:rRNA from 1 species